UUUCCAUAUGUCGUGCGAAUCGCGCGAGUUGUUUCCAACGAACCGGCUAAUUCGCCAUUUUCUUCCGAUUAACCUCGCGAAAGAGACUAUGCUCUUCGUUGAAAAUUGCACAUAUCGAUUCUUCGACGUUUCUGGAACGAAACAUUUUUGACUGUCGUCUGGAUAAUAACAAUAUAAAUAACGAGCCUUCAUUGAUGAUAAAGAUGGGCUAAUACCCUGACCAACAAUGGAUCAAAUCCAUUACUAGGUCAUUGCUUGAACGGCUA